rnacentral:rRNA from 1 species
UGGGGAAUCUUGCGCAAUGGACGAAAGUCUGACGCAGCCACGCCGCGUGAGUGAAGAAGGCCUUCGGGUUGUAAAGCUCUGUCGCCCGGGACGAACAGCUUAUGGGUUAACAGCCCAUGAGUCUGACGGUACCGGGAAAGGAAGCACCGGCUAACUCCGUGCCAGCAGCCGCGGUAAUACGGAGGGUGCAAGCGUUGCUCGGAAUUAUUGGGCGUAAAGGGUAGGUAGGUGGUCUCAUUUGUCCGGGGUGAAAUCCUUGAGCUUAACUCAAGAAGUGCCCUGGAAACGGUGAGACUGGAGUACUGGAGAGGGUCGUAGAAUUCCCGGUGUAGCGGUGAAAUGCGUAGAGAUCGGGAGGAAUACCAGAGGCGAAGGCGGCGACCUGGACAGUUACUGACACUCAACUACGAAAGCGUGGGGAGCAAACAGG